rnacentral:rRNA from 1 species
UACGUAGGGGGCUAGCGUUGUCCGGAUUUAUUGGGCGUAAAGAGCGUGUAGGCGGCCAGGCAGGUCUGUUGUGAAAACUGGAGGCUUAACCUCCAGACGUCGACAGAAACCGCUUGGCUAGAGUCCGGAAGAGGAGAGUGGAAUUCCUGGUGUAGCGGUGAAAUGCGCAGAUAUCAGGAAGAACACCAAUGGCGAAGGCAGCUCUCCGGGACGGUACUGACGCUGAGACGCGAAAGCGUGGGGAGCGAACAGG